rnacentral:rRNA from 1 species
AACGUAGGAGACGAGCGUUAUCCGGAUUUACUGGGCGUAAAGCGCGUGCAGGAGGCAAUGCAAGUUGGAUGUAAAAUAUCCCGGCUUAACCGGGAGGGGUCGUUCGAGACUGCAUAGCUGGAGUAGUGGAGAGGUAAUCGGAACUCCGGGAGUAGCGGUGAAAUGCGUAGAUAUCCGGAAGAACACCAGAGGCGAAAGCGGAUUACUGGCCACCAACUGACACUAAGACGCGAAAGCCAGGGUAGCAAAC